GAUGAACGCUGGCGGCGUGCUUAACACAUGCAAGUCGAACGGUGAACACGAAGCUUGCUCUGUGGGAUCAGUGGCGAACGGGUGAGUAACACGUGAGCAACCUGCCCCUGACUCUGGGAUAAGCGCUGGAAACGGCGUCUAAUACUGGAUACGAACCACGAAGGCAUCUUCAGUGGUUGGAAAGAAUUUCGGUUGGGGAUGGGCUCGCGGCCUAUCAGCUUGUUGGUGAGGUAAUGGCUCACCAAGGCGUCGACGGGUAGCCGGCCUGAGAGGGUGACCGGCCACACUGGGACGGAGACACGGCCCAGACUCCUACGGGAGGCAGCAGUGGGGAAUAUUGCACAAUGGGCGAAAGCCUGAUGCAGCAACGCCGCGUGAGGGAUGACGGCCUUCGGGUUGUAAACCUCUUUUAGCAGGGAAGAAGCGAAAGUGACGGUACCUGCAGAAAAAGCGCCGGCUAACUACGUGCCAGCAGCCGCCGUAAAAC
rnacentral:rRNA from 1 species